UACGGGGGGGGGCAAGCGUUGUUCGGAAUUACUGGGCGUAAAGGGCUCGUAGGUGGCCAACUAAGUCAGACGUGAAAUCCCCUCGGCUUAACCGGGGAACUGCGUCUGAUACUGGAUGGCUUGAGUUUGGGAGAGGGACGCGGAAUUCCAGGUGUAGCGGUGAAAUGCGUAGAUAUCUGGAGGAACACCGGUGGCGAAGGCGGAUCUCUGGGCAUUAACUGACGCUGAGGAGCGAAAGCAUGGGGAGCGAACAGG
rnacentral:rRNA from 1 species